AUGGUAGGAUAGAGGCCUACCAUGGUGGUAACGGGUAACGGGGUGUUAGGGCACGACACCGGAGAGGGAGCCUGAGAAACGGCUACCACAUCCAAGGAUGGCAGCAGGCGCGCAAAUUACCCAAUCCCGACACGGGGAGGUAGUGACAAUAAAUAACAAUACGGGGUUCUUUAGGAUCUCGUAAUUGGAAUGAGUACAAUUUAAAUCUCUUAACGAGGAACAAUUGGAGGGCAAGUCUGGUGCCAGCAGCCGCGGUAAUUCCAGCUCCAAUAGCGUAUAUNAAAGUUGUUGCAGUUAAAAAGCUCGUAGUUGAAUUUCGGGGUCAGUAGGUCGGUCGUGCCACUGGUAUGAACUGGUUUUACUGAUUCCUCCCUCUUGAAGAACUGUAAUGCCAUUAAUUUGGUGUUGCAGGGAAUCAGGACUGUUACUUUGAAAAAAUUAGAGUGUUUAAAGCAGGCUUUAGCUUGAAUACAUUAGCAUGGAAUAAUGAAAUAGGACGUUUGAUCCUAUUUUGUUGGUUUCUAGGAUUGACGUAAUGAUUAAUAGGGAUAGUUGGGGGCAUUAGUAUUCAAUUGUCAGAGGUGAAAUUCUUGGAUUUAUUGAAGACUAACUACUGCGAAAGCAUUUGCCAAGGAUGUUUUCAUUAAUCAAGAACGAAAGUUAGGGGAUCGAAGACGAUCAGAUACCGUCGUAGUCUUAACCAUAAACUAUGCCGACUAGGGAUCGGAUGAUGUUAAUUUUUUAAUGGCUCAUUCGGCGCCUUACGGGAAACCAAAGUGUUUGGG
rnacentral:rRNA from 1 species